rnacentral:rRNA from 1 species
GAAACUAACAAGGAUUCCCCUAGUAACUGCGAGUGAAGCGGGAAAAGCUCAAAUUUAAAAUCUGGCAGUCUUUGAUUGUCCGAGUUGUAAACUAGAGAAGUGUUAUCCGCGCUGGACCGUGUAAAAGUCUCCUGGAAUGGAGCAUCAUAGAGGGUGAGAAUCCCGUCUUUGACAUGGACUACCAGUGCUUUGUGAUGCGCUCUCAAAGAGUCGAGUUGUUUGGGAAUGCAGCUCAAAAUGGGUGGUAAAUUCCAUCUAAAGCUAAAUAUUGGCGAGAGACCGAUAGCGAACAAGUACCGUGAGGGAAAGAUGAAAAGAACUUUGGAAAGAGAGUUAAACAGUACGUGAAAUUGCUGAAAGGGAAACGCUUGAAGUCAGUCGCGUCGGCCAGGAAUCAACCUUGCUUUUGCUGGGCGUACUUUCUGGUUGACGGGUCAGCAUCAAUUUUGACUGCUGGAAAAAGUUCAAGGGAAUGUGGCAUCUUCGGAUGUGUUAUAGCCCUUGUUCGCAUACAGCAGUUGGGAUUGAGGUACUCAGCACGCCGCAAGGCCGGGUUUCGACCACGUUCGUGCUUAGGAUGCUGGCAUAAUGGCUUUAAUCGACCCGUCUUGAAACACGGACCAAGGAGUCUAACAUGCCUGCGAGUGUUUGGGUGGAAAACCCAAGCGCGCAAUGAAAGUAAAAGUUGAGAUCCCUGUCAUGGGGAGCAUCGACGCCCGGACCAGAGCUUUUGUGACGGAUCUGCGGUAGAGCAUGUAUGUUGGGACCCGAAAGAUGGUGAACUAUGCCUGAAUAGGGUGAAGCCAGAGGAAACUCUGGUGGAGGCUCGUAGCGAUUCUGACGUGCAAAUCGAUCGUCAAAUUUGGGUAUAGGGGCGAAAGACUAAUCGAA